GUUUUACCAAUAUUUCUUUUUAUUAAUUAUUAUUAUUUAUUUAUUGCUAGGUUGUAAAUGUCAUUUGCUGUUUCAGUUAUAAAAAUCACAAGGGGACCAUGAUACAGCAUCACCAAUUUUGGCUUUUGGUUUGUACUCUUAACCGUACAUGUGUGAUUCUCUGCUUUCUACAUAGCCAUCAUCAACCAGCCGCUAGAAGCUCUCCCUGUGUUAAGGGGUUGGAUUGCCACAGACUCUACAGUUUCCUCUGUGUUGUACUGCAUCUGUACAAGUAAUUAGGCUUUUGUUUCUAGUCCACUUUUGAUGUUGUCAGUUCACAAUCAUCGUUGACAAGCUCUUGGUAUUUUCCUCUCCCCAGUUCCUGUCAGAAAUGCCUUUGGCAAUGACUUAAAGCAUAUGGAAUAUCCAAAAUAUGACAGCUUGUGGGCUUGGUUCUUGACAAUAGGUAUUUUUGGACUUUCCACUUUUCUAGUACUGCAGCAUUUGUUACCUUGUCUUUCCAGCAUAUCCUACCCAAUCAGCAAAAGAUUCACAGCUAGGCUUCUAUCUUCUCCAUUGCUAUAUACAUUGCCCAAGUUUCUAACAGACAGAAGAAAAUUGCAUUUUACUGAAAUUUUGUGGUCAAAACCAAUGAACUGAAUUUAAAAAUUUGAAAUGAACCAAUUUUCUACAGAACCCUUUGACCACGCUGAGAGUUCUUUUUUAUUAAUAAAACAGACGAGAAAAAGAAAUCACUUAAUCAGUCAAAGUUGGCUGCUCCUGGAGGAUAUUCUGGACUCUGGAUUAAACCUCCCCAUCUAUCAUUGACUAAUUCAGUGUUGCUGCAAUCUACAAAAGAAUCCAUUUUAGUGGUGACAGAUAAAGGGUGAAAGUUUGAAAAAGUUUCCCAUUGGAUGUAUUGAAGAAGGAAUGCACUGAGUAAUUAAUGAAUAUUAUCAGCUCAGUACUAAAUUAAUUCUAGAGUUGGAUAUAUGUUGGUGUUUAGUGUUAGGCCAGACAGGAUUGAGCAAGCCUACACUUAAAGCAUUUCUAUGGAUGUGAGUGUCACAGCUUUUUAAAAUUUAAUGUACAUAAAAAUGCUUCUCAACAUCCAAACAAUGUGUCCUUCCUAUUUUUAACAUGGUUGGUAUGAUUUGAUGAAGAUUUAGCUACAGUUUCUAAUUUACUAAACAGUUCAUCAAAUUAAAUAAAGUGAUACUGUUUGGUGAUUUGAUGGUGAGUAUUGGCUUCUUUAAUUGCAAUAGCUAGA
rnacentral:lncRNA from 1 species